GAUGAACGCUGGCGGCGUGCCUAAUACAUGCAAGUCGAGCGAACAGAUGAGGAGCUUGCUCCUCUGACGUUAGCGGCGGACGGGUGAGUAACACGUGGAUAACCUACCUAUAAGACUGGGAUAACUUCGGGAAACCGGAGCUAAUACCGGAUAAUAUAUUGAACCGCAUGGUUCAAUAGUGAAAGACGGUUUUGCUGUCACUUAUAGAUGGAUCCGCGCCGCAUUAGCUAGUUGGUAAGGUAACGGCUUACCAAGGCAACGAUGCGUAGCCGACCUGAGAGGGUGAUCGGCCACACUGGAACUGAGACACGGUCCAGACUCCUACGGGAGGCAGCAGUAGGGAAUCUUCCGCAAUGGGCGAAAGCCAGACGGAGCAACGCCGCGUGAGUGAUGAAGGUCUUCGGAUCGUAAAACUCUGUUAUUAGGGAAGAACAAAUGUGUAAGUAACUAUGCACGUCUUGACGGUACCUAAUCAGAAAGCCACGGCUAACUACGUG
rnacentral:rRNA from 1 species